UCGCCUCUGGAAACUCUGCUCGGCCCUCUUCUCCUCUACGUCGUUGCGUCUUGCCCUCUUCUCUCUCGCACAUUGGUAGCUCUUUGGCCCUCUUCUCUCUCGCAUAAGCUCUUCUCCUCUGCGUCUCUGUCUAAUCGUUCCUCCUCCGCUAGCAAUUCUGUUUCGUUCCUCCCUGCCUCACCGUCUGUUUCGCUCCUACCUCGCCGUCAGUUUCGUGCCUCCCUCGCCGCGCGUUGAAUCCCGCUUGAACCCUGAUCGAACUAUUGAACCAGUGAAUCAGUCACCUUACCGGUUUAUUGACCAGUCCGGUUCUCUCAACGUUGGCAGCAGCAUAAAAAUCAUAAAAAAGAGUACCUUUUUUUUCUCUGGGGGGUAAAAUCCUUCGCUACUAUUAUGGGUUUGACGAAUUUCGUGAUGACGGUGGUUGGUGUGAGUGCGGUUGUGCUUCUUCUGAGGAGCGACGUGAAGCAAUCAGCCAACAUAUUCAAGCGCAACGUUAAGCACAUCCGUAACUGGCUCGAAGAAGAAACUGCUACUUCUAAGUGAGUCCCUUUUUCCCAUUUUCUCUCUCAUUCCCGUCUGGGUAUUUGUUUUUUCUCGUCAAGUUUUGAUCUCGUGUUCUGGGUUGCUUCUGUUUUUUUGUUUUUAGUUUUUCGAUUGAUGGUUUUGUUGUUGAAAUUUGUUUUUUCUUUUGAGGGGUGGUGUUAGAGUUUACGGUUUAGGAGUGGGAUUUGGAUAACAUAGAGUGAUUGGUUGGAUAUUGAAAUUCUGAACUUGGAAGCUUAUGUUUAUGGAUUAUGUUUUUUUUUUUUUUUACCAAAGAUAUGAGACUCGAACCCGCAACCUGUUAAUUGAGUAUGGGGAGAUUAUGCCAUUUGAGCUAUUAGUCAUUGGCUGGAUUAUCUUAUUUUGUGGUCAAAGUUAACUUAUAAUUUAUUGUAGAGAGUGAAGUUCUAUCAUCCUUUCAUAGAGGGGAAAAUUAUACAUUACAUUAAUUUUCAAUACAACGUUGUAUUUUAUUAUUAAUGAACAAAAAAAUGUUGGUUAGUAUUGGGUCAAUAAGGCAAAUAUACAAGAAAAAAUAUUGGUCACAUUACAUUUCCUUUAAAGGAAUUUCUCUCCUAAAAAAAAUUAGGUGGAGAAGGCUAAGCUUUGACCUGGAGUAGUGAAUGGAAUGGCGGUUUUGAAAUCCAACCUUGCGGAUGAGGUUUUUCUAGUAAUCAGCUUACUUUUGUUUAGC